AUUCAUUUCACAGUGGCCGGACGCAGCGAUACGAGUAGGUAGCGCCUUCUUUUUCAAAGUAUGAACAAGUUAGCCAUUUUUUCGGUAUUUCUGGUAGGUUUUUCCAUUCUAGAUGAAGUUGAAAGUGCCUUUAAUCUUGACAUUUAUCAAUACCAAAAUACGGUCAAUCAGUUGAGUGCACUUUGUAAUCGCGUAAUGGACAGGAGUAACAGCCAGCAACAAGUAACUGCAAAAUUGAUCAGACUUUGCAAGCAAACUAGAAAGAAGCUAUGCUCCGGAUUAAAUUCAGAUGGAUGGGGAGAUGACAGAAAAAGAGCAAUAAAACAUUGGCAGAAUGCAUGAGCCGUGAUAACGUGUAUCUAUAGACAAUGGACAAAAAGGCAUGCAUCUAUAAAGAAAAUCGAAAAAAUGAUGAAUAUAUCAACCAAAUGUAACAUAGUAUAGGAAAUUAAAAAAAAGAAUUUAUUAUUGUAACGCAUUACAAACGACAAAUAAAACGUUCAUGUUUGUCGUCGA